rnacentral:rRNA from 1 species
GGCCACUGCUAUCGGAGUUCGAUUAAGCCAUGCGAGUCGAGAGGAAACUCGGCAUACUGCUCAGUAACACGUGGACAAUCUAACCUACGGAGGGGAUAACCCCGGGAAACUGGGGAUAAUACCCCAUAGACUAUGGAUGCUGGAAUGCUUUGUAGUCGAAAGGUCCGCCGCCGUAGGAUGGGUCUGCGGCCGAUUAGGUUGUUGUUGGGGUAACGGCCCAACAAGCCUGUAAUCGGUACGGGUUGUGGGAGCAAGAGCCCGGAGAUGGAUUCUGAGACACGAAUCCAGGCCCUACGGGGCGCAGCAGGCGCGAAAACUUUACAAUGCGGGAAACCGUGAUAGGGGAACUCCGAGUGCCCGUUAAUCGGGCUGUCCACCAGUUUAAAUAACUGGUGAAGAAAGGGCCGGGCAAGACCGGUGCCAGCCGCCGCGGUAAUACCGGCGGCUCGAGUGGUGGCCACUAUUACUGGGCUUAAAGCGUUCGUAGCUGGUUUGUUAAGUCUCUGGGGAAAUCUUCCGGCUUAACCGGAAGGCGUCUCAGGGAUACUGGCAGACUAGGGACCGGGAGAGGUGAGGGGUACUCCAGGGGUAGGAGUGAAAUCCUGUAAUCCUU